UACGUAGGGUGCAGGCGUUAAUCGGAAUUACUGGGCGUAAAGCGUGCGCAGGCGGUUUGCUAAGACAGGUGUGAAAUCCCCGGGCUUAACCUGGGAACUGCGCUUGUAACUGGCAAGCUAGAGUGUGGCAGAGGGGGGUGGAAUUCCACGUGUAGCGGUGAAAUUCGUAGAUAAUUGGGAAGAACACCGGGUGGGCGAAGGCGGCGCUCUGGACCGAGACUGACGCUGAGGCGGCGGAAAGCGUGGGGAGCAAACAGG
rnacentral:rRNA from 1 species